UACGUAGGGAGCAAGCGUUGUCCGGAAUCAUUGGGCGUAAAGCGCGCGUAGGCGGCCUCGUAAGUCCGUUGUGAAAGUCAAAGGCUCAACCUUUGAAAGCCGAUGGAUACUGUGAGGCUAGAGUCCGGAAGAGGCGAGUGGAAUUCCCGGUGUAGUGGUGAAAUGCGUAGAGAUCGGGAGGAACACCAGUGGCGAAGGCGGCUCGCUGGGCCGGACCUGACGCUGAGACGCGAAGGCGUGGGGAGCGAACGGG
rnacentral:rRNA from 1 species